rnacentral:rRNA from 1 species
UACAGAGGUCCCGAGCGUUGUUCGGAUUCACUGGGCGUAAAGGGUGCGUAGGUGGCGUGGUAAGUUUGAUGUGAAAGCUCAGGGCUUAACCCUGAAAUGGCAUUGAAUACUCCCAUGCUGGAGGUUUGGAGGGGGGACUGGAAUUCUUGGUGUAGCAGUGAAAUGCGUAGAUAUCAAGAGGAACACCAGUGGCGAAGGCGAGUCCCUGGACAACACCUGACACUGAGGCACGAAAGCUAGGGGAGCGAAUGGG